rnacentral:rRNA from 1 species
CCUACGGGAGGCAGCAGUGAGGAAUAUUGGUCAAUGGACGAGAGUCUGAACCAGCCAAGUAGCGUGAAGGAUGACUGCCCUAUGGGUUGUAAACUUCUUUUAUAUGGGAAUAAAACGUUCCACGUGUGGGAUUUUGUAUGUACCAUAUGAAUAAGGAUCGGCUAACUCCGUGCCAGCAGCCGCGGUAAUACGGAGGAUCCGAGCGUUAUCCGGAUUUAUUGGGUUUAAAGGGAGCGUAGGUGGAUUGUUAAGUCAGUUGUGAAAGUUUGCGGCUCAACCGUAGAAUUGCAGUUGAUACUGGCAGUCUUGAGUACAGUAGAGGUAGGCGGAAUGCGUGGUGUAGCGGUGAAAUGCUUAGAUAUCACGAAGAACUCCGAUUGCGAAGGCAGUUCACUGGACUGCAACUGACACUGAGGCUCGAAAGUGUGGGUAUCAAACAGGAUUAGAUACCCCAGUAGUC